AUACUUACCUUGAUUGACUGCUGGGGGAUCAAGAAGCCCAGGCAGUAUGGUAGAGGACCUGAAUUGCACAGCGCGGAGUCAGCUGCCAUGAAUUGCCCUUCGGGGCUGUUCCCAUCAUAAUUUCUGAUGGCUUC
rnacentral:snRNA from 22 species